rnacentral:tRNA from 1 species
UCCCCUGUAGCUCAGUUGGCUAGAGCGUCGUACGUCUGACACCACAGGAUCCGCUCCAUUUGCUCUGUUAAUGCUAACAAUCAUUCAAGAGACUGUUAAUCUGAAGGUCGCAAGUUCAAACCUUGUCGGGGGAG